CCAUCCUGCCCCCUGUGAAGAAGGUGCCUUUUUCUCCUUUGCCUGCUGCCAGGAUUCUAAGUUUCCUGAGGCCCCACCCAGCAAUGCAGAACUUGUCUUUUACUUUUCUAUCUCACUUGCAAAAGUACCAUUGCUGAAAUAAUUCCUCAACUUCAUUGAGGACCAAUUCCUUGACCUCGCGAUUUUCUCAUUACCAUACUGUCUCCUUGUAUAUUAGUUUUCCUUUUAAACCACAUUAGAUUAUAUGGUUCCACACUACCAUCACUCAUUAAAAAAACUUGUUUGCAAAUAUCCUCAAUUUCUCUACAUCUGCCACUUUCUAUGGUAAUUCUCUGACAAACCAAAUUUUUAAUGAGUAAUUCACCUUCUAACAUGAAGACAGAAGAAACUUCUGUGGCUGGAAAGAAAUAUCAUAUGAGUAAGCUGACUGGUUUUUACUUAAAGGGAACAUCAUGAGCUUUAAGUGGGCAUUCUACAUGGGCAGUCAUAUUCUAAUGAGGAAACAGAAACAGUCAGAGAAGAACUUUCUUGUUUUCUUCUAACCAAAUCUAUAAAAUGGCCUUAAUCUGCAUCUAUCUGAAACUUUUUGCAGUGUAUUUUCCAUCACUAAUCACAGCAUACAGGUUUCAAAGAAUUUCUACAGGACUGAAAAAAACCAAAUCAUGCCAAAUAGUGGGAGGAAGAGCUACCUUAUUCCAAAAAAUACUAGUAUCAGAACUCAGGUUUCAUUAAAUACAUUGAUACCUAGAAUAAAAGAGGUCUGAAACUCCUGGGAUCAAGGAAUCCUCCCAAGAUGUGCGAUGCUUAUUGAACAUUCAAAGUAGGCAGAUGACUCAAAAUUCAGUGGAGAGAUUUAAGAGUAGUAUCCUGAGAAGAAGAGGAAGCAACCAGAGUUCUCCCUCUGCCAUGUGAGAAGACAGUAGAAUGUGGCUGUCUGUAGCCAGAAAGAGAGACUUAUCGAGAACUAAAUUGGCUGGCACCUUAUUCUUGGACUUCCCAGCCUUCAGAUCUGUGAGAAAUAAACAUCUGUUGUUGAA
rnacentral:lncRNA from 1 species